ACGAACGCUGGCGGCGUGCUUAACACAUGCAAGUCGAACGGAAAGGCCCUUCGGGGUACUCGAGUGGCGAACGGGUGAGUAACACGUGGGUGAUCUGCCCUGCACUUCGGGAUAAGCCUGGGAAACUGGGUCUAAUACCGGAUAUACCUCAUUGGUUGCAUGACUGGUGGGGGAAAGCUUUUGCGGUGUGGGAUGGGCCCGCGGCCUAUCAGCUUGUUGGUGGGGUGAUGGCCUACCAAGGCGUCGACGGGUAGCCG
rnacentral:rRNA from 4 species